UACGUAGGGUGCGAGCGUUGUCCGGAAUUACUGGGCGUAAAGAGCUCGUAGGUGGUUUGUCGCGUUGUUCGUGAAAACUCACAGCUUAACUGUGGGCGUGCGGGCGAUACGGGCAGACUGGAGUACUGCAGGGGAGACUGGAAUUCCUGGUGUAGCGGUGGAAUGCGCAGAUAUCAGGAGGAACACCGGUGGCGAAGGCGGGUCUCUGGGCCUUACCUGACGCUCAGGUGCGAAAGCUAGGGGAGCGAACAGG
rnacentral:rRNA from 1 species